rnacentral:rRNA from 1 species
UACGUAGGGUGCAAGCGUUAAUCGGAAUUACUGGGCGUAAAGCGUGCGCAGGCGGUUUUGUAAGUCUGUCGUGAAAUCCCCGGGCUCAACCUGGGAAUUGCGAUGGAGACUGCAAGGCUAGAAUCUGGCAGAGGGGGUAGAAUUCCGCGUGUAGCAGUGAAAUGCGUAGAUAUGCGGAGGAACACCGAUGGCGAAGGCAAUCCCCUGGACCUGUACUGACGCUCAUGCACGAAAGCGUGAGGAGCAAACAGG